GGCUCGAGUGAUGGUUGUCGUACUACCUGUUUUGGCAGUAGCGGAUGCCUGUGGGCCUGCUGGUCAUGGCCACCGGCAGGCUCAUGAGCCCCUCUCCCAUCUGAUGCUCGCCCCGGCGGGUACUUGCCUCCCGUCAGGCGUCCGCGCCGUGGUGGCGGUCCAGGCCACAGUUGUCCCGGGCGCCGCAGCCUCGGGCCGCCGUCGCGCCAUGCGGGUGGCGGCCAGAGCGGAGCCGGGCUACACGGACGACGAGAAGGUUGCAGCAGUUAGCUCAGUGGACUGGCGAGCAGAUGCAGUGCAAGCAGGUCUCGUUUAUGACGCCAAACAUGUUCGAGGAAAUGCAUCAAGGUGGAGAGGACUUGAUUGGCAAGGAAAAGAAGCCAACUGCAGCGUUAAGUCUCAUAUCAAUGGACAGUGGUGCUUCACUUCCUGUGGAGCUGUAAGUUGAUUUUGGGGUGCUUGAGGAAACUUAUCACAAGGACAUCAUUUAGUUUGUAUUGUCUAUGUGGGCCUGUGGCUAUGCCUAUGUCUCAAACUGUCAUACCUCACAUACUGUAUAUUGGUAUGUGUAAUUUAAAUACUAUUAUGUUGAUGGUUGCAUGUCAAUAAUAAUAGCUGUGUAAAUAUUGUUGUCUAUGAUCUAUGUUACUAUUAUGAAAUACUUUUAUGGCCCGUGGCAAUGCAUUCUCUCUCAUGGCGACCUCCUUCUCCUUCCUCCUCGCAUCGGCCUCCAAGGGCUUGCUAGUCAUGGCCACCGGCGGGCUCAUAGGAAUAUUUUCAGACAAUGAUUAUCCCCUUUAUGAUGCUUCAAAGUUGUCCUUGUCCAUUUUUAACUUCAAAGGUACUCACUAAGUUUAUAUAUGUCUUGGCUAGCAAUAAUCUUUGUAUUACUACUGAAAUAAUCUUCUUAAGUCCUAGCAUUAAGAAUUAUAGUCCAACUAUGAAAAAAUUACUAUAGUAUAUGCUGUAAUUUCAUAAUUUUUUUGUGUAAUUGCAAUAAUUUUCCUUUCUUUACCAGUUUCAAUCUUUCCCCAAGCAGCCCCUUAUGUACCACCAACAAAUCCAUGUCUAGGUACCAUUAGAGCCCACCAGAUCAUUGUCGGAAAUGUUGGCUAUUCUUGAUUAUACAAAAUCUGAACCUUAUUUUGUUGAUUAUACAAAAUCUGAACUUUUUAAUCUGAGCUAUGUCGAGCUUUGUCACUACCUUGUUUAUUGUACAAUCAAAACCAAGUUUAGUCUUUGUUUAUUCAUGGACUUAUUUUGUGCCCUGUUACUGUGUACUUGUGAUCUUUCUAGUUGUGGACUGAGUGUAGGUGUUGGCUAUAUGGCAAUUAGACAAUGUAGGUGUUGGUUGUAUAGCAACAUAUGGUUGUACAUAAAUAAUACUAUAGUUUGCCCUUUGUAGCAUGCAUUUGUUUCCCACACCUAUCUGAUUUUCCCAAGUUGUGUAGUACUAUUGCAUAGAGCGUUUUAGUCAACAUAAACUCUUUUUAUUUUUUCUAAUAUGCUACUACAUGACUGAAUGUUUUUCUUCUAGUCUAUCGUAUCCCUUCUAUUGGUUUACCUAUUCGUAGAUGAAAACUUCUUUUUAUUGAAACUUUGAUCUGCAGUCCUAAUAUGAUUCAUUUAGCAAUCAAGUAAAUAAGAAAACAUGGUCUGAAAUUUUAGAAUUCUUAUACUAUAAUUACACCAUCAUUUAGUAUUGUAAUUGUCUAGUUUUUUACUGUAAAACAUAAAAUUGAGCAUUGAUUUUCUAUUCCAAAUUACCCCAGCAUUUUAGUUUCUUCCUGACCUUUACUUUCUGGUAUUGUAGGAGCUAGGGGCCAUCAUGGCCAUUCGCAUUUUCCACUAAGGCCUUCUUUUACCGUUCUAUAUGUAAGAGAACAAAGAUAAUACCAAAGCUGUGGUUGCAAUAAAAAUACUCGCGUGUCUUACUCUUUUAGUUUGGUGAGUUGAGAGCUUAAGAUUUAUUGUGGACUCAAUCUGCAAAUACACCCUUCUUUAGUGUUGUAAUUCUGUAGUUUGUUAUUAUAAAAUAUAAUAGUGAGCAAUACUUCACUAGGAUUUUUGAUGCCAAAUAUACCCAAGUAUUUUAGUUUUCUCCCUGACUUGUUACUUUCUAGGAUUGCAGGAAUGGAGUUGAUGAGUUGAGGAGAGCUUAGUGAGGUUUGUUAAAGUUGCAUUCAGGAUUUGGUUUUGAGGUUGCCCCUUUGUGUGUACUGAUUUGUGAUUCGAUUGCCAGGUAUGUAGUUGAUUCCCUCUUCUACUCUUUGUGGCUGCACCUGUUUUAUUUUGUUUUGUCAGUUUCCCUUCUGAUUUCAGUCUGAUGGCCUCAACGUUCGCUGAGAGGCCGACACGUUCGUCGCACACUCGCACGCACGCUCUCACCCAUGGCCGUUCACUGGUUGAUUGUAGUGAUGGACAAUAUAGGAAGAUAUGUGCAUCAUAUUUUCUUUCUUGUGGUUAGCAAAAAACCUUAGACAUCACAAAUGUUUAGUUGAGUGCUUUUCCAGUUGAACCGUCACAAUGUUUAAUUAAGUGAUCUAUCUUGACUGCAGUCAUGCCCAACACUAACCACAAACUAUCACAUUAUCUGGACUGCUACCUUUUUUUAAAGAAAAAGAACCUAGAGAUCAGUGAAGCUAGCGCAUCUCCAGAGUCAUCUUACAAAGUCGGGAGUCAGCUAGCUGUAUUGAGUACUGACAAAUAGGCAAUACAGUUUUCUCGCUAAAAUACUGCCCUCAAUUGUUUAAGCUUUUGAUGGGUUGUUAUAUGGUUGAUAAGCAAUACAUUUAUCUUUUUUUUUUGGCAGAAGCAAUUGGUUCCUGAUUCUUGUUUCAAUGAUGAAUUAACUGGGUCGAUCAAGGGUGGUUGAGACCUGAUACCGAUUUUUGUUUGGAGGAUUUUUCAGUUUAGCGAAUGGGGUUGGUGGUCUGACUAUCAUACUUGUAUAUUUAUCUUGGGAAUUUAUUGGAACCAGCAAGCAUAUAUAUCGUGUUCAGUAAAUUAGUAACAACCUAAGUAGCUGUCAUUAACUUGGUGUCCAUCUUCUAGACUUGCAUUUGCUUGAGCUGGUCUUAGUUACUUAGUUUUGUUGGUGAUGGAUGCAUUUCCAAUAGCAGUUAUGUAGCUUAUUCUAUAAUGUGGUUUUGCUGACUCUAACGAUGUCUAACUGUGAUGAAGUUCCAUUCUUUGUGGUUCUGUUGAAGUCAUUGUGGGGCACUGGGAUUUGAUCUGAUCCUUUUCAUUUGUCUUGUGACCUAUGUUGGUUUUGGUGGCUGAGAUUGAAGAACCAGUGCCCUUUUCCUCCUAAUCAAUGCACUGAUACCUAUUGGGUCUUUUUCCCCCUUCUUUUCACUUAUGAUGUGUAUUGGGCCUGCGUGCACUACAAUAUAGAAGGUCUGCCUAGAAUAUCAAGUCAAGUCAUGUCAUGUCUAUUGGGAUUUUUGUAAAUCAUUUUAAUUACAACCCAUUAAUGUUGAUUUUGUAGUGUUAUGGAAUACCAUAAUUUCUGAUAUUUUUUAUCUGUAAA